CCUGAACGCUGGCGGCGUGGCUAAGACAUGCAAGUCGAACGGGCACCCGCAAGGGUGUCAGUGGCGGACGGGUGAGUAAUGUAUCGCUAACGUGCCCCGGAGCCUGGGAUAGCCGGGCCGAAAGGCCGGGUAAUACCAGAUGAGACCACGGCCAGGCAUCUGGCAGUGCUCAAAGCCGCAAGGCGCUCCGGGAGCGGGCGAUAUCGUAUCAGGUAGUUGGCGGGGUAACGGCCCACCAAGCCGACGACGCGUAGCUGGUCUGAGAGGACGGCCAGCCACAUCGGGGACUGAGACACUGCCCGGGACUCCUACGGGGGGCGUNCAGUAACGAAUCUUUCCGCCAAUGCACGAAAGUAGUGACGGAGCGACGCCGCGUGUGGGACGG
rnacentral:rRNA from 1 species